rnacentral:rRNA from 1 species
UACGUAGGGUGCGAGCGUUGUCCGGAUUUAUUGGGCGUAAAGAGCUCGUAGGCGGUUUGUCGCGUCUGCUGUGAAAUCCCGAGGCUCAACCUCGGGCCUGCAGUGGGUACGGGCAGACUAGAGUGCGGUAGGGGAGACUGGAAUUCCUGGUGUAGCGGUGGAAUGCGCAGAUAUCAGGAGGAACACCGAUGGCGAAGGCAGAUCUCUGGGCCGUAACUGACGCUGAGGAGCGAAAGCAUGGGGAGUGAACAGG